ACUAUACAUGCAGUCGAGCGGACAGAUGGGAGCUUGCUCCCUGAUGUUAGCGGCGGACGGGUGAGUAACACGUGGGUAACCUGCCUGUAAGACUGGGAUAACUCCGGGAAACCGGGGCUAAUACCGGAUGGUUGUUUGAACCGCAUGGUUCAAACAUAAAAGGUGGCUUCGGCUACCACUUACAGAUGGACCCGCGGCGCAUUAGCUAGUUGGUGAGGUAACGGCUCACCAAGGCAACGAUGCGUAGCCGACCUGAGAGGGUGAUCGGCCACACUGGGACUGAGACACGGCCCAGACUCCUACGGGAGGCAGCAGUAGGGAAUCUUCCGCAAUGGACGAAAGUCUGACGGAGCAACGCCGCGUGAGUGAUGAAGGUUUUCGGAUCGUAAAGCUCUGUUGUUAGGGAAGAACAAGUACCGUUCGAAUAGGGCGGUACCUUGACGGUACCUAACCAGAAAGCCACGGCUAACUACGUGCCAGCAGCCGCGGUAAUACGUAUGUGGCAAGCGUUGUCCGGAAUUAUUGGGCGUAAAGGGCUCGCAGGCGGUUUCUUAAGUCUGAUGUGAAAGCCCCCGGCUCACCCGGGGAGGGUCAUUGGAAACUGGGGAACUUGAGUGCAGAGAG
rnacentral:rRNA from 1 species